ACAUAAGGCCUCAACAACAAAUUCAUACGAACGUUAACAAGUAUUCUAAUCUCCUUUAAGCAUGCCAGUACAAAAUUUGCUUUCCUCGUUUUGCCUAUCCUUUCAAUCGGAGAAAGGAUAUGCCGACUGAAUUUUGUUUGUUUGUUUUAUUAAUAUUGUUUUUCAGUUGUGGUGGUUCGAUUCUAUCUGUUACUGUCAGUGCAUUUGCCCCACGAGAGCAGUGGGGGAUGAUCGUCUUCAUUCAAGUGCCAACCAUGGCUUCGGUCCUUUCUCUGCCUCGCCGUCUUUUUCAACACCCUGCGGCAUGUGUGACCGCGUCGUUCAGGUCUUGUGGUUUGCCAUCUGUCUUUUCCAGUUUUCUCUACCGAUUUGUUUGAGUUUUGUUUCAUAGAGGACGCCUUUCACUUGCAGUGUGUAGGUUACUGUGUUGAUUCGCAGUGUCGGCCUGGAGACGCGAUUUGGUGGAUUUGAAGCUCGGUUUGGUGCUCUCAAUGUGAAGAACGAGGUAUUUGAUUGACCUCUGGCAGUGGGAGGGACGGAAUUGAGCAUGCUGCGUUGGUUGGACCUCAGGAAUUCAUUUGAGUGACAUUUGGCGAUUUGGUAACAAGCGUCUUCGGGGAUGGGAAAGAGGCACGGGCGACAAAUCGGUGGAUCAAGAAGGCUAUUGCUGAAGUGGAUCGUGUCACGAGUGGUACCUUAAUUUCCUAUAUUCUUCGGACUCUAAUGUUUUGAUGUCGAAGAAGGGGAGGGAGCAUUUGCUACCAAAUGCGAAACUGUUCUGAUGGUUAAUCCUCAACACAACUAUUAUGGAAUAUCUUAUUCCUAUCGAAGACUCAAUUGGAUUUCAUAUAAGCAUUGGACCAAGUACAUUUUGAGUGCGUGCAUAAGACAAUUACCACUAUGUCAAGCAAAGAUCAAACUAUUGCUGAGAGAUAAUAUACGUGUUCAUAUCAAGAAUGCCUUCGGGAUUCAAUAUAUCUUGUGAUUGAUUUUGUUCCAUUAUAAAUACAUCUAUUUAUCUUAA